rnacentral:rRNA from 1 species
GAUGAACGCUAGCUGGAGGCUUAAUACAUGCAAGUCGAGCGGGAUUGUCAGCAAUGGCAUGAGAGCGGCGCACGGGUGAGUAACGCGUACACGACCUACCUCUAACAGGGGGAUAGCCCUGGGACACUGGGAUUAAUACCUCAUAGUAUAUAGUCUUCGCAUGUUGACUAUAUUAAAGUUCCAACGGUAAAAGAUGGGCAUGCGUCCUAUUAGCUAGAUGGUAAGGUAACGGCUUACCAUGGCAACGAUAGGUAGGGGUCCUGAGAGGGAGAUCCCCCACACUGGUACUGAGACACGGACCAGACCCCUACGGGAGGCAGCAGUGAGGAAUAUUGGACAAUGGGCGCAAGCCUGAUCCAGCCAUGCCGCGUGCAGGAAGAAGCAUCUAUGGUGUGUAAACUGCUUUUGUACAGGAAGAAACACCCCGACGUGUCGGGACUUGACGGUACUGUAAGAAUAAGGAUCGGCUAACUCCGUGCCAGCCGCCGCCGUAACAC